rnacentral:rRNA from 1 species
CCUACGGGUGGCAGCAGUGGGGAAUAUUGCGCAAUGGGCGAAAGCCUGACGCAGCGACGCCGCGUGAGGGAUGAAGGUCUUCGGAUCGUAAACCUCUGUCAGCAGAGAAGAACGGUCACUGUGCUAAUCAGCAGUGAAUUGACGGUACCUGCAAAGGAAGCACCGGCUAACUCCGUGCCAGCCGCCGCGGUAAUACGGAGGGUGCGAGCGUUAAUCGGACUUACUGGGCGUAAAGCGCUCGUAGGCGGUAUGUCAAGUCAAGGGUGAAAUCCCCGCGCUCAACGUGGGAACUGCCUUUGAAACGGGCAAACUGGAGUGUGUGAGAGGAGAGUGGAAUUCCAGGUGUAGGAGUGAAAUCCGUAGAGAUCUGGAGGAACAUCAGUGGCGAAGGCGACUAUCUGGCACAUAACUGACGCUGAGGAGCGAAAGCGUGGGUAGCAAACAGGAUUAGAUACCCUGGUAGUC